AGAGUUUGAUCCUGGCUCAGGAUGAACGCUGGCGGCGUGCCUAACACAUGCAAGUCGAACGGUUAAACCGCCCUUCGGGGCGGACAUACAGUGGCGAACGGGUGAGUAACACGUGACCAACCUGCCCCGCACCCCGGGACAACCGCCGGAAACGGCGGCUAAUACCGGAUACUCUCCGAGGCGCGCAUGCGCCACGGAGGAAAGCUCCGACGGUGCGGGAUGGGGUCGCGGCCCAUUAGGUAGUAGGCGGGGCAACGGCCCACCUAGCCUGCGAUGGGUAGCCGGCCUGAGAGGGCGAUCGGCCACAUUGGGACUGAGAUACGGCCCAGACUCCUACGGGAGGCAGCAGUGGGGAAUAUUGCGCAAUGGGGGAAACCCUGACGCAGCAACGCCGCGUGCGGGAUGACGGCCUUCGGGUUGUAAACCGCUUUCAGCAGGGAAGAACAUCGACGGUACCUGCAGAAGAAGCCCCGGCUAACUACGUGCCAGCAGCCGCGGUAAUACGUAGGGGGCGAGCGUUAUCCGGAUUCAUUGGGCGUAAAGCACGCGUAGGCGGGUGCCUAAGCGGGACCUCUAACCUCGGGGCUCAACCCCGAGCCGGGUCCCGAACUGGGCGCCUCGAGUGCGGUAGGGGAGAUCGGAAUUCCCGGUGUAGCGGUGGAAUGCGCAGAUAUCGGGAAGAACACCGAUGGCGAAGGCAGAUCUCUGGGCCGCCACUGACGCUGAGGCGCGAAAGCUAGGGGAGCGAACAGGAUUAGAUACCCUGGUAGUUCUAGCCGUAAACGAUGGGCGCUAGGUGUGGGGGAGCGAUUGCUUCUCCGUGCCGCAGCUAACGCAUUAAGCGCCCCGCCUGGGGAGUACGUUCGCAAGAAUGAAACUCAAAGGAAUUGACGGGGACCCGCACAAGCGGUGGAGCAGGUGGUUUAAUUCGAAGCAACGCGAAGAACCUUACCAGCCCUUGACAUCCUGCUGGCAGCCCGGUAAUGCGGGCUUUCCUACGGGACAGCAGAGACAGGUGGUGCAUGGUUGUCGUCAGCUCGUGUCGUGAGAUGUUGGGUUAAGUCCCGCAACGAGCGCAACCCCUGUUUACAGUAGCCAGCAGCAAGGCUGGGCACUCUGUAAGGACUGCCGGGGAUAACCCGGAGGAAGGCGGGGACGACGUCAAAUCAUCAUGCCCCUUAUGGGCUGGGCUACACACGUGCUACAAUGGCGCCAACAGAGUGAGGCGAACCUGCGAGGGGGAGCAAAGCACAAAAAAGGCGUCCCAGUUCGGAUUACAGCCUGCAACCCGGCUGUAUGAAGCUGGAAUCGCUAGUAAUCGCAGAUCAGAAUGCUGCGGUGAAUACGUUCCCGGGUCUUGCACUCACCGCCCGUCA
rnacentral:rRNA from 1 species